CGAAAUAAAAUUAAAAUUCUGAUGUGGCAUGGGCGCAUGGCAAGUGAAGAAAGGAGAGAACGAAACACAGAAAAAAAAACGGUGUCGCGUGCCGGAAACCGGGUCGAACCAACAAGCGAGUUGGGCGUUGGGACGAUCGAUCCAUCGUUUCUUCCCAAAACGCAUUUUCCUCGACCUCCCGAUCGAUCUGCGGUGCCCGCCUCCGCCCUGACGCAGGUGGUGCGCCAAGAGCCAGCGGUCCUCCUGCUGUCGUUGCUGCCCGAGGUUUCCCCAACCCCGAAGGGCCCAGCGGCGGCGUGGUCAUCCCCUCCAUCCCGUCGACACCGCCAGACCUUGCCUGCGGCGGCGGCGGACAAUCCCACCAACGGCGGCUCCUGGAGGCUGAACUAGCUGCGCGCGCUGUGCCCGACUGGCGACUGUCCGUGCGGUCGGCGCUGGCGGCUUGGCGCACUGCAGUGCUGCUGCCUGCUGGUGCCAGCGUGCAUCCCAGCGGUGCGGCGUGGGAGCGGGAGUGCGGCACGCCGGUGCGUCGCCUUGCGAAGGCGAAUCUCCGCCGCACGCGCUCGUAGAAGCAGCCAAGCAGAAAUUUAAGAUCGCUGAUCCUUGUACAUGCAUGAAGGAUUGAACGUAACUAUUUUUUUUUCUGUGGAAACUGCCAUAGACACUUAGCAUUGCUGAAGGUUAUGUCUAAUGGAUUAUGGAUAUUUAUUCUCUUCUCUAGUAGUUUAGUUAUCAAGAUGAAUGUAUUAAUAUUGAAUUGGUCCUUGCACAUAUAAUCUACCACCGAACUUCAUUCGAUAGCAAAUUGCAUGCAAAGCCUUAUAUGUUGCCAUUCAAGUGAGGGAAUUAGCUUUCUCUUUUAUGUAGCUGUUCAUAAUUUGGUUAAAUUGAUUAAUUUGUAUUCAUUGUGGUACAUUUUGAUUUAUGUAUAUUCAUCUGUAGGACUUAACAGUUGAAUAAAACAUGCCAUGCUGAAAAGCAUACAGCACUGUAAUUAUCCUGGGCCAACAUACCAGCUUCUUCCCAAUUUGCUCCAGGAAGGCUCUAGAUACAUUUAUUUUUACCUAGCCAUUUCCAGGAGUAAUCCAUGUACUGCUCCUCAACAGUUUUAUUAUUUUGGUUAGGGCUACCAUGAUCCAGCAAGACACUUACCCUUGUAAUAGCAUCAUUCUCAUGUUGUCAAAUUUCCAUCAGCGUGAUCCAAUAGCUCAACAAAAAAUGGAUAGAAGACCCCAACCUAUGUAGAACCAUAAUGAUGCAAAAAUGUUAUUGUCGCUAAAAAUAAAAUGCAAGUCUUAUUAGAUCACAUCGCUCAUCAGACACAUUCUGUAACAACAAUAAUAGCCAGUCUGGACUAGAAUAAUAGCCAUAGGCCAUGUCUUGCUCUUCCUUCUUUUUCUAUAACUCUUACUCGUAUCCUUUGUCUCCUCCCCGAUUCUAUUGUGCUUCCAGGAUAGAAGGAGGAGGCAUCUGCACACCUACAAGGCAACAAGGGAUACCAGGAAGGGCAACCUCUUGGGCCUUGGCAGUUUAUCGAUGGUAUUUGGUUAUUAGAGUGAGCAGUCUUCGAGGGCACUUCACCUGUUCUUGAGCAGGGUCUCGGACGCCCCAGAGUCCAGAACCUUCUAGAAGCAUCAGGAUAGCUAGAGCAUUGCUCCAACCCCAGCACCAGCCAUGUCGGAGAAGCUGGCCCCUGGGAAGCGCCACGCCUUCAUGCACAAUGGGCAGAAGGUGUUCGAGUGGGACCAGACACUGGAGGAGGUGAACAUGUACAUUGAGCUCCCCAAGGGCGUACCCACCAAGCUCUUCCGCUGCACCAUCCAGGCGGGCCACAUGGAGGUUGGCAUCCGUGGCAACCCGCCAUACCUUAUUACCUCAACCACAACCUGGCGCACCCCGUGAAGACAGACUCCUCGUUCUGGACAAUAGAGGAUGGUGAGAUGCAUAUCACACUGCAAAAAAGAGAGAAAGGGAAGACAUGGUCAUCUCCAAUACAAGGGCAAGGUCUCUUGGAUCCAUAUGCUGCAGAUCAAGAGCAAAAACGGCUUAUGCUGCAAAGGUUUCAAGAAGAGAACCCAGGGUUCGACUUUUCUCAGGCUCAGUUCAGUGGAACCUGCCCUGACCCAAGGACCUUCAUGGGAGGAAUACGCUCCGACUGAAACGUCCAGCCUGAACGGCGUAAUUCUUGCUAUGUUCCUGCUGCUAUCUUCAGCAUCUUGUUAGAUGCAGCAGCCGUAGCUAAUGUCCUAAUCCUUACGUAAAUUGGUUGGUGUUUUUUUUUGAGAGCCAAAAUUGGUUGGUGUUUACCCUUGAAAUAAUGAAUUAGUGAUGAUGUGUGACCCAUUCCAUAACUCUGUUUGUGAAUUCAGCUGAUUGUAAAUAUCCCUGAACCGGGCAACCUGUGCUUGUUUACCCCCGAGCUAGUUCUAGCUAUAGGGUCAUCAUUCGGUGCUCGAGUAAUCGUUGAUGGAUCAGUAUUUGGGAGAAUUGAUGACGUGGCAGUCUAAAUUGGCUUCCGGGAUGUUCCACUGUCUUAAA